GGAUGUGAGGGCGAUCUGGCUGUGACAUCUGUCACCCCAUUGAUCGCCAGGGUUGAUUCGGCUGAUCUGGCUGGCUAGGCGGGUGUCCCCUUCCUCCCUCACCACUCCAUGUGUAUCCCUCCCGAAGCUGCGUGCUCGGUCGAAGAGGACGACCAUCCCCGAUAGAGAAGGACCUUUCUUUGGUCAAGGGUAUAUGAGUAGCUGCGCUCCCUUCUAGAACCUCCAAACAAGCUCUCAAGAACAGAAACUUAAAAUGUACUAAGUACUACAUAGUACUAAGUAGUAUGAAAAGAAGCUGAAGAAAACACCUUGUGUAAUUUAAACAUUUUUAAUGAGUUAAUAU
rnacentral:snRNA from 1 species